GAUGAACGCUGGCGGCGUGCUUAACACAUGCAAGUCGAACGGUGAAGGCGGAGCUUGCUCUGCUGGAUCAGUGGCGAACGGGUGAGUAACACGUGAGCAAUCUGCCCCUGACUCUGGGAUAAGCGCUGGAAACGGCGUCUAAUACUGGAUACGAGCUGCGAAGGCAUCUUCAGCAGCUGGAAAGAACUUCGGUCAGGGAUGAGCUCGCGGCCUAUCAGCUUGUUGGUGAGGUAACGGCUCACCAAGGCGUCGACGGGUAGCCGGCCUGAGAGGGUGACCGGCCACACUGGGACUGAGACACGGCCCAGACUCCUACGGGAGGCAGCAGUGGGGAAUAUUGCACAAUGGGCGAAAGCCUGAUGCAGCAACGCCGCGUGAGGGACGACGGCCUUCGGGUUGUAAACCUCUUUUAGCAGGGAAGAAGCGAAAGUGACGGUACCUGCAGAAAAAGCGCCGUCUAACUACGUG
rnacentral:rRNA from 1 species